rnacentral:rRNA from 1 species
UACGAGGGGGGGCGAGCGUUGCUCGGAAUGACUGGGCGUAAAGGGCGCGUAGGCGGAUGGCACAGUCAGAUGUGAAAUUCCCGGACUUAACCUGGGGGCUGCAUUUGAUACGUGUUGUCUUGAGUUCGGAAGAGGGUCGUGGAAUUCCCAGUGUAGAGGUGAAAUUCGUAGAUAUUGGGAAGAACACCGGUGGCGAAGGCGGCGACCUGGUCCGACACUGACGCUGAGGCGCGAAAGCGUGGGGAGCAAACAGG